rnacentral:lncRNA from 1 species
UGGGCCGUGUGCUGUCCCUGGAACCAAGGGUAGGAUCAGCCUUGCUCAAGUCACACAGCCUGCGAGUACAUGGGCGGGGGGAGGUAUGUCCCCAACAGUCCUAGCCACUAGCAAACUUCAGUUCUCCAGGCCAGAUUGUGGCUCUGAGCUCCUUGGGCCCCAGAAUGGGGCUGGGUGCCCAGGAAGGCCAGGUCUCCUUUGGCUUGCUGUCUGCUCCAUGACCUGCCCAACCAGCACAGCCAGUGUGGAGGCCAGGUCCUGGCUGUCCUCCCCACCCACGGAGGCCCUGCCCUCAAUCCAGCACCCGGUGUUCCCAAAACCUGGGCCCCAAGAGAAGAGAGGUGCACAGGGCCGCUCGGGAGGAAGGCCCGUGCAGGCAGAGAGGUAAACGGACAGGGCUGGCGAGUGCGGCCCCAGCGGCUGAGGCGGUACAAGGGUGCAGGGGUUGGGGGCUUGCCAUGGAAUGGUGUUGGGCAGGGAGCAUGGGGUGAGAUUUGGACUUUCACAAUCCCUUGUAGCUUUUGGAGCCUCCCCAAGAGCUGUCGUAUCCCUCCUUUCUUCCAGUUACUGUUGCAACCAACAGAGGCUGUUUGUACCACUAAAACAAAAGAAAUCCCCUCUGGUCCUGUGCUGUGUGGACCAGGCCAAGGGCGGGGAAUGGAGGCGGGGCAGCUGGUCUGGGAGCUGGAAAGAGUCACAGGAGCCGGGCAGCCCAGGGUGGCACUGGGCUCUGAAUCUCAGCUCCCUCCGCCCUCACUCUCUGCCCAGGGCAGGUCGCAGAACUUCACACCCAGGAUUCUCCUCCGUAAAAUGGGCUCACCGACCCCACAUCAUCCCUGGCGGGUCUGAUGGCAUUCACAGAGCUAAUGCAGCCCACUGCCAUUGGCUCCGACCUCUUCCAAGACCGGCCCCGGCUGGCAGCUUGGCGGGCCCACGUAGAGGCCACCCUGGGACCCGAGCUCGCCCAGGAAGCCCAUACACUUGUGCUCCAGCCUCGGGACCCCCAAGAGGCCCAGUGGGACCCCCAGCUAGCCCAGAAGCUGGCGCAGUGGCUGCAGGAGUGUCUCCGCUGAGAGGGGUGUGCCCGCUCCCCGGCACUCUGCCAACCACAGGAAACAUGCCAUGUGCCCUGACUCGUCUGCAGCCUCUCUCUACCCCAGGAAGUGGUGCCCCCCCAUUUCUGAGCAGACAGGGAAUCUCCCAAGAUCACCCAGCAUGAAGUGAGUGGCACUCAGCCCUCGCCGCGGUGUCUAGUUACCUCCCUCACCAUUGGGUGCUGAGUUCCAGGUGUCCAGCCAGGCCACUGCCCGUCCCCUCUCAGUUUCUGGGGUCCUCUGCAUGGCACAACCCAGCUGGCCACUCUUGACUGACUCCCUGUGGUGUUGUCCCCUACGCCCUGACAUCUCCCCAGGCCCCUGUUUCUCUUUCUCCCAAUCCUUUCCUAGCCAAUGUUCAGGCUAGGUUGACCUGUGAAUACUCUCAGUCUCUGUUCUGGAACCCUCCAGGGGUUCUCAUCGCCCCACCCUCCUUCUGGACCGGCCAAGCCCAUUUGGUCACAUUCCACAGUGAAGGCCUGGCCCCGGGAAUUCCCAUGCAUAAGCAGACAGGGCCAUGUGCCCCAAGGGUGGGAAGGGCAGGGUCGCAGUUGCCCCAACACCAUGACCCCAGGCCAGGGGCCUCUCCCCAGUCUACUCUUGGGUCUCCUCAGAAUCCUUGCUGCUCUGAGAAUUCCAGGCUUCCUAGCCUCAUGACAACACAAAGUGAAACAAGAAGUUCCAGAACAUGGGGGCCUGGGUCUGGGUUGGAGAGAGCAAGCCAAGGGCUGGCUGGCGGGCACAGGGCCAGGGGCUCAGGUAGCAUACAGGCUCCAGUUCAGGGCCUGCAGCCUGGGCUGGAGGGGCUCAGCACAGUCUCAGCAUGGGCCUGGAGCUCUACCUGGACCUGCUGUCGGCCUCCUGCCGUGCCGUCUACAUCUUUGCCAAGAAGAACAACAUCCCCUUCGACUUCCAGUUUGUGGAUCUGCUGAAAGGCCACCAUCACAGCAAGGAAUACAUCGAGAUCAACCCCCUGAGGAAGCUGCCCUGCCUCAAAGAUGGAAAAUUUAUCUUAUCUGAAAGCGCGGCCAUCCUCUUCUACCUGUGCCGCAAGUACAGUGCACCCUCGCACUGGUACCCGCCAGACCUGCACACUCGCGCCCGCGUGGAUGAGUUCAUGGCCUGGCAGCACACGGGCAUUCAGCUGCCUAUGAGCAAGAUGCUCUGGAUCAAGGAUUCUUUCCUGCUGGGAUCUCAAAAUCCUUCUGAACAUUGGCCCCAGGCAACUUCUACCAACCAGAAGAGGUGAAACCACUUUAUAUCCUUGGUUCUGUCCAACACUCUCUAGCAGAAAAGGGUACUGAGGCCUGGAGGGUCAGAUGGCACUGGGGUGCAGCCUCCUCUUCCCUCCUCUCCCCCACCCUGGCCAGCUGCUGAUCCCCAUGAUCACAGGUGAGGAGGUUCCAGCUGAGAAGACAGAGCGGAUGCUGGCAGAGGUGAAGAACACCCUGCAGCUCUUUGAGGAGAAGUUUCUGCAGGACAAGAUGUUCAUCACGGGGGACCAUGUCUCACUGGCCGACUUGGUGGCCCUGGUGGAGAUGAUGCAGGUGUGGAGUGGAGUGGAGCAGGGGAUAGAGGCCGGGCAGAGCCCAUGGGGGGCAACCAUAACGUCUUCCUCAACAGCUCCAAGCUGGCUGAGUGGCGCAUGAGGGUGGAGCUGGCCAUUGGUUCCGGUCUCUUCUGGGAGGCCCACGACCGGCUGGUGAAGUUGGAAGAGUGGGACUGUUCAACCCUGGACCCGCUGGUCAAGGAGAGGAUCUGCGAGCUGCUGCAGAAGUUCAAAUAGAAGCAGCCCCUCCUGCAGGGCCUGGCUGGCUCAGCCCUCGGAGCCUCCUUCUUGGGGGAGACGCUGAAAACACCUCGGUUUCUUUGUCUAAUAAAGAACAGCCACCACUGCUGCUGAGCCUGGGACAGUUGGUAUGAGCAUAGUGUCCGAUGUGGGAGUGGGUGGUGGUCAUGGGUCCUCCCAACUUCCAAAAAGACCUUAAAAAUUAAAGGUUAAAUGUGAUUAACUGUCAAUAACAAUAGUUGAUGACGUCAAUACUUCACUUUCAAUGAUGGACAGAAUAAUGAGACAGAAGAGCAUCAAGGAACUAGAGGACUUGAAACACUAUAAACCAACUGAAACUACCAGAUACAUACAGAGCCCGCCACCCGACAACAGCAGAAUAAACAUUCUUCUCAAGAGCACAUGCAAUAUUCUCCAGGAUAGACCAUAAGUUAGGCCAUAAAAUACACUCCAAUAAAUUUAAACAGACUGCAAUCAUACAAUGUAUGUUCUCUGAACACAAUGGAAUGAAAUCAGAAAUCAAUAACAGAAGGAAACUAGAAAACUCACAAAUAUCUAGAAAUUAAACAAUACACUCUUAAACAACAAUCAAUGAGUCAAAGAACAAAUCACAAGGGAAGUUAGAAUGCACCUUGAACAAACGAAAACAAAACCACAACACACCAAAACUUACGAGGUGCAGCAGAAGCAGAACCAAGAGGGAAAUUUAUAGCUGUAAAUGCAUACAUUAAAACAGAAGACAGAUCUCAAAUCACUACCUAACUUUACACCUUAAGAACUAGAAAAAGAAAAGCAAACCAAACCCAACAACAGCAAAAGAAAGGAAAUGAUAAAGAUUAGAGUGGGGAAAUAGAGAAUAGCCUAACAGUAGAGAAAAAUUAACGAAACCAAAAAUUGGAUUUUUGAGAAGAUCAACAAAAUGAACCAACCUUUAGCUAGAAUGAUGAAGAAAAAAAAUCAGACUUGAAUUACUCAGAUCAGGAGUGAAAGUGGGCCUGUCACUACUGAUCUUACAGAAGUGCAAAGGAUUAUAAAGAAAUACUAUGAACGACUGUAUGUGAAUAAAUUAGACGACCUAGGCGAAAUGGAAAAUUCCUAGAAACACACAUCUAGGUCUGGGGUUUAGGAUGGGGGCCUGAGAUUCUGCAUUUCUAACAAGCUCAUGGGCAAGGCUGCAUUUCUAACAAGCUCAUGCUGCUGCAAGGACCACAAUGGGAGUAGCAAGCAGCUAGGCCCUUCUUCAAAGGGAAAAAUGUUUUCUCUUGAGGAAAUUUGAGUGCACCCAUGUUCCCUGCUAAAGACGGUUUCAGUUUAAAUGUCAAGAAUGUGAGAUGCCACAGGAGAAGAUGUGGGCAUAGGAGAG